rnacentral:rRNA from 1 species
CCGAGUGGUGUGGAUGUUUAUUGGGCCUAAAGCAUCCGUAGCUGGCCAAGCUAGUCCUCUGUUAAACCCACCGAAUUAAUCGUUGGAUCGCGGGGGAUACUGCUCGGCUAGGGGACGAGAGAGGCCGACGGUAUUCUCGGGGUAGGGGUGAAAUCCUAUAAUCCCGGGAAGACCACCAGUGGCGAAGGCUGUCGGCUAGAACGCG